CGGUGGGUAGGGCUGGGGAGGGAGGCUGAGUGAGUUCGGUACACACAGGUUACACGUGUUCGACUGCGUAAUAUAGGGGAGGAAAAAAAGAAGGAAAGAGAAUCCUUACAGGUGCCUGAAGCAGUCGAGACCAAAAAGGAGUGUAUGAGAGUUCCACUGGUGCUGCUAUCAUAUCAUAUAUAUCAUAUCAUAUAGGGACAUUAGUCUUCUUCUGCACUUGGACUGAAACUUACACCAUCAGCUCUCCUGGUUCUCAGGCCUUCAGACUUGGACACAAACUAUACCACUGGCUAUCCUGGGCCUCCAGUUUGCAGACAGAAGAUUGUGGGACAUCUCAGCUUCCAUAAUUGCAUGAGCCAAUUAGUUAUUUAUUUAUAAUAAAUUAAUAUAUAAUCAAA